rnacentral:lncRNA from 1 species
UGUAACUCUUAGAAUUGAAUAGAAAUUGGGUUGCAACCAAGACACACUUGUUUCUGGAUGAGCUAGGAGUUUCCAAACCAAAAUUUAGCUUAAUUGGAGUUUUGUAAUAAAAGUUAUUCAAAUUGAAAGGUACUAAGCUUGUUAGUUUCUAAAACAGAUUUUGACUCAUUUUUACUUAACUUCCAGGUAAUGUAACUUCUUCAUUAAAAAUGGUAUUAACUCAGAACCAAUUGAGAAAGAAACCUGGAUG